AUUGAACGCUGGCGGCAUGCCUUACACAUGCAAGUCGAACGGCAGCGCGGACUUCGGUCUGGCGGCGAGUGGCGAACGGGUGAGUAAUACAUCGGAACGUACCCUGUUGUGGGGGAUAACUAGUCGAAAGAUUAGCUAAUACCGCAUACGACCUGAGGGUGAAAGUGGGGGAUCGCAAGGCCUCACGCAGCAGGAGCGGCCGAUGUCUGAUUAGCUAGUUGGUGGGGUAAAGGCCCACCAAGGCGACGAUCAGUAGCUGGUCUGAGAGGACGAUCAGCCACACUGGGGCUGAGACACGGCCCAGACUCCUACGGGAGGCAGCAGUGGGGAAUUUUGGACAAUGGGGGCAACCCUGAUCCAGCAAUGCCGCGUGUGUGAAGAAGGCCUUCGGGUUGUAAAGCACUUUUGUCCGGAAAGAAAUCGCGCUGGUUAAUACCUGGCGUGGAUGACGGUACCGGAAGAAUAAGCACCGGCUAACUACGUG
rnacentral:rRNA from 1 species